rnacentral:ncRNA from 1 species
UAACGUAAUGAUGCGUUUUAUGCAGUAUUAACCCACUGCGUAGUGGCUAAAACCCACAUCGGACUUCUAUAAAGGAGAAAACAAAUG